rnacentral:rRNA from 1 species
AAGACCUUGCGCUUUUGGAGCGGCCGAUGUCUGAUUAGCUUGUUGGUGAGGUAAAGGCUUACCAAGGCUUCGAUCAGUAGCUGGUCUGAGAGGACGGCCAGCCACACUGGGACUGAGACACGGCCCAGACUCCUACGGGAGGCAGCAGUGGGGAAUUUUGGACAAUGGGGGCAACCCUGAUCCAGCCAUGCCGCGUGAGUGAAGAAGGCCUUCGGGUUGUAAAGCUCUUUCAGCCGGAACGAAACGGUUACGAUUAAUACCCGUAACUACUGACGGUACCGGAAGAAGAGGCACCGGCUAACUACGUGCCAGCAGCCGCGGUAAUACGUAGGGUGCGAGCGUUAAUCGGAAUUACUGGGCGUAAAGCGUGCGCAGGUGGUUUUGUAAGUCAGAUGUGAAAUCCCCGGGCUUAACCUGGGAACU